AGUGAACGCUGGCGGUAGGCCUAACACAUGCAAGUCGAACGGCAGCACAGUAAGAGCUUGCUCUUACGGGUGGCGAGUGGCGGACGGGUGAGGAAUACAUCGGAAUCUACUUUUUCGUGGGGGAUAACGUAGGGAAACUUACGCUAAUACGGCAUACGACCUACGGGUGAAAGCAGGGGAUCUUCGGACCUUGCGCGAUUGAAUGAGCCGAUGUCGGAUUAGCUAGUUGGCGGGGUAAAGGCCCACCAAGGCGACGAUCCGUAGCUGGUCUGAGAGGAUGAUCAGCCACACUGGAACUGAGAAACGGUCCAGACUCCGACGGGGGGCAGCAGUGGGGAAUAUUGGACAAUGGGCGCAAGCCUGAUCCAGCCAUACCGCGUGGGUGAAGAAGGCCUUCGGGUUGUAAAGCCCUUUUGUUGUGAAAGAAAAGCAGCAGGUUAAUACCCCGCUGUUCUGACGGUACCCAAAGAAUAAGCACCGGCUAACUUCGUG
rnacentral:rRNA from 1 species